UGUGAGACUCCGCCGAAAACCAUCUAGACCUUCAUCCAGAGGAAGGUAAUUUGCAAAUUUACUAUUCCGAAUUCAGGCAGUGAUUUCCUCCCCACCCCUUGAGAGUAUUGAUACUGCUUAUUUAAUAGUAAGUUAUUUAUAUAAAGCAGGAUCUUUACCUGGACAAGGAGUUUCUCUUCCUACCUGCUCUCCUGGCUUUUGAGACUACCUGUGUGAUCAAGGAGUACUGCAUAGCUACCAGCACCAACCUCACUGUAAAUGUUUGCAUUAUGAGAAGAUGACUCUUACAUGUCCUGGAAAUGCACUACACUGACGUGUUCCAGCAAACAGUGUCUUUUUAAAAUCAAUAUGACUACUUUUAUGAGUCAAGGAAAACUCAUUCAUAAGUGUUUUCAGAUUCUAGCCAACAGUUUUUUUUAAAUUAUGGUCCAUGUUCUUUCCCCCUUUCUCCCCACUUUUAGACCAAGGAGUUGAAAUACUGAAACAGGCUUAGCAAGGGGAGUAAGAGGAAAAUAAUUUUCCGAGUGCUUCACAUACCAUUAUCCUCACCCUCUCACUUGUGCAUAAAAUGCAGCUGAAGUAUGGAAUAUAUGAAAUAAGUUCCUAGAAGUUUACAGCAAAGCCACAGUGAAAGGUGGUGAGAGAAUAGAGAAUAAAGCAGCCAGUGGAAAAACAAGCAGCAUUUUGGACAGGCAGAACACUGUUGAUCUGCAGUCACCUAGAGUCAUAGGGACCCACCAGCAGCACAAGCGAGGGGAGCUGGGUAAGAAACUUUCUGAAGUCCUUGGCCUCAUAAUGACUAGCCAAAAAGCUUUGUCUAGCCUGAGAAUCAAGAUGCUUGGCCCAAGUAUCUUGCUAGGUGCCAAACUUUGGCUCUUCUACCUGGCUCAAGGAUGCACUCCAGAGAUUGCUCCAGAAGGACAAGAAUGCUCUCUGAACCGAAUACUUCUCUCUUUCUCUCAAAAUAUGAGUGUCAGAGCAUUUAUUGCAGGACACUGCAUCCACUCACAGAGAACUCCUUGCAGCAGAAUGAGAGGAUAAGGAAAGACCUGCAGAUUUCCAGGUGAUUCUAGCAUCGAUCCUCUUCCCCCAGCAUGAAGAUGAAUUAAAAUUGUACUAGAAAAUGGUUGGAAGUGAUAAUCACCUCUGCUGUGUUACUCCGGAUGUGUCCAUACAGCUGACUGGGAAGGAGAAGUCUGCUUGCCUGUCAAAAAGAUGUGGAAAUGUGCUGGCAUUCCAGCUGAAGACAUCAUUAUGGGUGAGAAAAUGCUCAAGGCUUUUUCAAAGCGGGUGCUGAAACAUACGUUUCUCUUCUUUGACUCCAGGGGAUGCUAACAGCUGCCCCAGCAGACAGGUAUUGCAAGGUCAAAGGCUAGCAGAGCUGUACACCUUCAGGAUUUGACUGCCAGCAAAGAAGAUGGGUAGUUUCUCAAAACUAAUAACAAAAAUAGCAACAAUGAUGAGAAGAAGGAGCUGACAACAAAAAUGAAAAGGAACCUGCAAGAAGUGAAUUCUGGGUAGCACAACACUUGGCAGAGCUGAUUUUAAUAUCUGACAGGUUGAGUUCACUAAUCUUUGCUAUUCAUAUUGACGUGAAACUUCAUACAGUUUUAGAGAUUUGUAUCUAUUAAGACAUGCAGCAGUGUUCCUACAACAUGGGAACAAGUUUGCUAGCGCCUGGCGUUCGUCUUCCUCCGUGAUAAAAAUUGAUAUGAACUGUUUUAAACAUCUAACAGAUAAUUACUCUCAACACUCAAUAAGGAAAGCUACAUCUUUAGAACUUCCUUUAUCUUUAAAAAACAAUAAAAAAAAACAAGCCCCAAAUCCACCAACAAGACAAAACAAUAUUCGUCCCCCCGUUUUCUCCCCUCUCUUUUGUUUCUUUGAUUACUUGGAGCCUUGUAAUCAAACUAAGCUUAGUUUCGGGACCCUUGGGGCAGUAUCUCUUAGUUCCCUGUCAGGCUGCGUUGCAAAACAAUCAAUCUUGCUCUUGUGCUGGCUUGGUGGAAGUGCCAUGACACGAGGAGUGCAAUGCUUUGCUCUUGCUGUGAAGCUUCGAUGACAAAAGUUUUUAUCAGAAGCUGACUGUAUUUAGGGUUAUGAAUAUGCAAUGACUCUCAUUAGUAUUGAAGCACAGGAGCAUGGGCUGACAUCCCCCGCCACUUUUAGCUGUUGCAGAGUCGUCUAAUGAAUUGUCUUGCUCUUUCACUCGCGCAGACUUUGCUGUUACAGCUCCCCGUUCCAAGGGGAGUUGCCCAGUUUGAGAAUACUAUUGAUGGCAGAAAUUAAUUGCCAAGAACUGCUCUUGAUUUUGUUAAACAGUGUUGAGACAGUGUUUAAAUUGUCAAAAGAGAAAACCAUUAAACUCUACAGGAGACAAAAUCAUUGCGAGUGAGAGGACUUGUGUGUCUUUACGCAUAGCCACGCAGAAGCAUACAGGUGUGGCACAGGUAUGCGUACAGUCUUGUAAUCAUACCUACACAUACAAACAUGUGCGUGUGUGUCAGUGACAGGGCUCAGAAACCUGACAUCCUGCUGAUUUACCUAUUAUUCUUCCAACUAGAACAAAUGGGGAUAACAGAAAGUUCUCCAAAUGAGGAGUCCAAUACAUUGCUAUAUGAUCAAGCCUUUAAUACUCUUUCUUUUCCCUUUGGGACCCUGCCAAACAUUUUUCAGCUCACACAUCUGCAAUCUUUAUGAAUAAGUUACUGAUAAGGAUGUUUCCAACAAAUGAUUAAGAUAUCUGGCUUGAUUUGUUGUAUUUGAGGAGAUGUGUAAGCUUUCAGAAACAAGUGGAAAUGACCCUUUUUUUCCCCAAUUGGUUAAAUUAAGUAUUUUUUCCCUAUUCAUCUGAAAUUUCUUCUGACAUAAAAGGAGCUUUUGUGGCUCUCUGCAGAUUGUGAAGGAUAGAGUGAAUUGAAACGGAUAAUAUAUUCCAAGAAGCAUAAGUAGCAUUCUGAAAGGUGUGCGCGUACUGCAAAUAAUAAAGGAUAUGAGGUUCUCCCAAGAACACGUCAGCCCUGCACAGCUCUUUAUCCAUUUAAUCAGUAAUGGAAAUGGUCCCAGUGCAAGGAAGGAGGAUCUGUUUAAUUUUUACUGCGAUUUUUGGCACCGUUGCUCUAAUGCGAGCUUGGCUUACCUCUUGACCCAACCCCAGGAGUGUCUGUUCUCAUCAGCUGGAGAAAAAAUAAACAUAAAGAACAUCUACAUGUUGGGAGUAUCAAAUAUAAGAGCAGUUUAAAAUAAAUGCAGUUCUGACAAAAGUGGCUCAAGUAUCAUACAUCAAACACUUGUUACCUCUCUUGGCCUUAGUGAUUGCACGUGACUAAGAAAGAGUGAGUGAUAAAAUCUGAAGAAAGAUGAAACCAAUCUGGGCCUUUUUAAAGAUCAUCAAUCAUUCUGCGCAGCCAUGGUAUUAUUAGUUCCAGUAAGCCUUGUUCUCCCAUUUUAUGGACAUCAUAAACCCCCCACCCCUAGACCAAUGUUACCAUGGGAAAUCAUUUUUAUGGGCAGCAUCUUAGUGUGGGCCAAUCAGAUCCAAUCACAUAACAAGCUACUGAAUUAUUCAACGUUCUCCCUAAUUUUGCAUUCUUCCUGCACUUUGCUGUCACUGCAGGGUUUUAAAAGUAUGUGUUUUUACAAUAUUUAUUAAGAAGAUAACCAUACACAGGAAUUUUGCUUUCUCUAUGUUUUUCAAUAAUUGUUUGUUCCCUCAGAUUGUUGCAGUGUAUACAUUGCUAUAUAGAGAAUAUUUUUUCUACAAGGAAUAGCAAUCCACAAUGUGGCACUUGGCUUUAAACUCUUUCAGCUUUUAAAAUACUGAACGUAAGGAAAACAAUAGUGAAACUAUUGUGUUCUAACAUAAAAUAUUCAGAUUUACUGAGCAAACUGUUACCAGCAUGUCUCUUAGCUGUUGCUAUGAAUACAGGGCUCACAUUGUAUAUGAAAAUAUUUCAGUUUUAAUUGCAAAUCUGUGCAGAGAUGAUUUGGGGUCUGUAAUUAGCACAUAAAUUCCAGACUUUGUGACUGCUGUGAAAACACACAUUAUUUAUGGAACUAUUAUCUAAAUAUAAUUCAGUGUUUUUUGCUUUCAACAACUACUGUAAAAGUCUGAUUUAAUAAAAUGUGAAAAAUU